rnacentral:tRNA from 1 species
AAGGAGAAGAUACUGGUUCGAUUCCCGUCGCUCGCCGCGAGCGUAGUUGAAUGGGAAAAUAUCUCCUUGCCAAGGAGAAGAUACGGGUUCGAUUCCCGUCGCUCGCC